UACGUAGGGUGCAAGCGUUAAUCGGAAUUACUGGGCGUAAAGCGUGCGCAGGCGGUUAUAUAAGACAGUUGUGAAAUCCCCCGGGCUCAACUCCGGAAUUGCCUUUAAGACUGCAUCGCUAGAAUUGUGGAGAGGUAAGUGGAAUUCCGAGUGUAGAGGUGAAAUUCGUAGAUAUUCGGAAGAAACACCAGUGGCGAAGGCGACUUACUGGACACAUAUUGACGCUGAG
rnacentral:rRNA from 1 species